UGAAUUUUAAAGGGCCGCGGUAUUUCUGACCGUGCGAAGGUAGCAUAAUCAUUAGUCUUUUAAUUUGAGGCUCGUAUGAAUGGUCGGACGAGGGAUAAACUGUUUUCAGGUAAAAAACUCGAAUUUAACUUUUAAGUGAAAAGGCUUAAAUAUUUCAAAAAGACGAUAAGACCCUAUAAAUCUUAACAUUAAAUUUCAUGUAAUUCUAGUUUAUUAGUAUAAAGAAACCCAUGAUAAAAAUGUUACGUUGGGGCAACGAAGAUAUAAAAAAAUUAACUGUUUUAUCAUUUAAACAAAAAUCAUUGAACUUUUAGAUCCUUCUUAAAGAUUUUAAGAUUAAGUUACUUUAGGGAUAACAGCGUCAUUCUUUUUGAGAGUUCCCAUCGAAAAAAGAGUUUGCGACCUCGAUGUUGAAUUAGAAAAUCU
rnacentral:rRNA from 1 species